UAACUCUGUGACCGGGGGGGAGUGAGUACAGCCAACAAAGAGAGCGCAGCGAAACAACAAUGCGGCGCUUGCGACGCGUUGGCCCGCAGGGCGAGGAACGCAGUGACGAGUCAUCCUUCCCCCACCACCG
rnacentral:sRNA from 1 species